CGUUUAGUAUGGCGACCGGCGCACGGGUGAGUAACACGUAUCCAACCUGCCGAUGACUCGGGGAUAGCCUUUCGAAAGAAAGAUUAAUACCCGAUGGCAUAGUUCUUCCGCAUGGUAGAACUAUUAAAGAAUUUCGGUCAUCGAUGGGGAUGCGUUCCAUUAGGUUGUUGGCGGGGUAACGGCCCACCAAGCCUUCGAUGGAUAGGGGUUCUGAGAGGAAGGUCCCCCACAUUGGAACUGAGACACGGUCCAA
rnacentral:rRNA from 1 species